rnacentral:rRNA from 1 species
GCGAAGGGGGGAGUGUAUAGACCUGAAACCGGUGCCUACAAACAGUCGGAGCCCGCAAGGGUGACGGCGUACCUUUUGUAUAAUGGGUCAACGACUUAGUGUGGCAUGCAAGCUUAAGCCGGUAGGUGGAGGCGUAGCGAAAGCGAGUCUGAACAGGGCGCUUUAGUAUGUCGCAUUAGACCCGAAACCGAGUGAUCUAGCCAUGAGCAGGUUGAAGGUUGGGUAACACCAACUGGAGGACCGAACCCGCAUCUGUUGCAAUAGAUUGGGAUGACUUGUGGCUAGGGGUGAAAGGCCAAUCAAACUCGGAAAUAGCUGGUUCUCCGCGAAAACUAUUUAGGUAGUGCGUCGACCGAAUACCCUCGGGGGUAGAGCACUGGAUGGGCUAUGGGGACUCACCGUCUUACUGAUCCUAACCAAACUCCGAAUACCGAGGAGUACUAGUCGGCAGACACACGGCGGGUGCUAACGUCCGUCGUGAAAAGGGCAACAACCCUGACCUCCAGCUAAGGUCCCCAAGUCAUGGCUAAGUGGGAAAGGAUGUGAGGAUCCCAAAACAACCAGGAUGUUGGCUUAGAAGCAGCCAUCAUUUAAAGAAAGCGUAACAGCUCACUGGUCUAAAUAAGGGUCUUUGCGCCGAAAAUGUAACGGGGCUGAAGCCAUGCACCGAAGCUGAGGCUUACGAUCUUCCUCGGAAGACGUAGGGGUAGCGGAGCGUUCCGUAAGCCAGUGAAGGGAUACCCGUGAGGGGUCCUGGAGGUAUCGGAAGUGCGAAUGUUGACAUGAGUAACGAUAAAGAGGGUGAGAGACCCUCUCGCCGAAAGACCAAGGGUUCCUGCUUAAAGUUAAUCUGAGCAGGGUUAGCCGGCCCCUAAGACGAGGCGGACACGCGUAGUCGAUGGGAACCACGUUAAUAUUCGUGGGCCUGGUGGUAGUGACGGAUUGCUCAACUUGUCCGGACUUAUGGAUUGUCCGGGCGGGACGCGGUUCCAGGAAAUA